CCCGCCCACAGCUGCCCCGACCCGCCAACUGCCCCGACCAGUACUGCGGCACCGCCGCCCCCACGCCCCCGCCGCCUCCCCCGUUCCGGCCCUCGCGCUCCGUAGUCUUCAGUCUUCACCGGCGGCGACGAGCCCUUCCGCCCCCACCAUCUCCGUCCCGUUCGAGAGCUGAUUCAUGCCGGUGCCGGCUCACGCCGCCCGGCCGCCCGGUCCUCCCCGGCGCAAGGCCCCUGCUGCGGCGAGCCGCCUCCACCAGGUUACUGUCUUACAUCAUACUUAUAUUGGUGCCAACGGCUGUUCAGAGCAUAUUAUUUAGUCUUCCGGCUUUGGUGUCUGGUGUGCUCUAGCCUGGAGGAUUGUUGUUCUCAGCUAGGGGAGGCUGCUUGUGAUCAUCUUGUGUCUGGUAUGCCGCUUCUCUCAUAUUCUCCUGAACUUACUUUGCAUGUACAGUAUUUAAUUGUGAUGGUUCUAUGUUGCUUUGGCGAGACUCUAAUUAUGCGUGGUGUGAUCUCUCAUUUUUACUAGUCUCUGAUGCAUACCUACCUUUUACCCUGUGUUUAUUAUGCGUGAUAUUUUCUAAUUCUUUGAGAUAAAUAUAUGAUGUAUUUACCUGUGCAUGUAGAAUUGUGUCCGUUCUGCACUUGUCUUUUGCCAGUGACAACAGUUUAUCCUUACCUUCCUCUUCACCUCAAGACUAUAUAUUUUUAUUAUAUACCUAAUUGCCUCAAAAUACCCCAUCUCCUUAUCCUCGCAUGAACAAUAUUUAUCGGAUUUUUUAUAUAUUUUCAGUCGUGUUUCCGGUGAUGUCUUGUUGUAGGUUUGAUCUUCCUGCAACUACUACAAAUAGCUACUGGGAACAAGUAGUGUGUGUGUACUGAUCCAAGCUCAAUUUUGUUGGAACAUAAGCUAUUUCACAUGCACGUUUUACUUUUACUUCUGAAACCAAAAUGCAGUUACAGUUAAACUACUACUGUAACCAGGUAUCCCCCCUGAAAGUUUGGCUAUCUUGUAGUACUGAACCUUCAGCUUUGAAUAAAUCUGGGCAAAUGCCUUUUAUCUAAAAAAAGGAUUCAAACAAACUACUACUAUUAAUAUCAUAGCGAAGAAGUUUCAGUAGCCAAGACAUGAAGCGGAGAGUUUUUUUUUUAGAGUAGAUGGAGCUUCUUUCUUUUAAUUCAAACAAACUACUACUAUUGAUUGUUGUGGUUCCUCAACAAGUUAUCUCUCAUUUAGAGUAGAUGGAGCUUCUUUCUUUUUCAUCUCGAUUAAUAAGUGGCUAAUCAUUUGCUAUCACUUGGCAAAAAUGAAAAGAAAGGAAAGAACCGUUGUUUGUAGGCAAUGUGAUGUGAUUU